rnacentral:rRNA from 1 species
UACGGAGGGGGCUAGCGUUGUUCGAAUGAUCUGGGCGUAAAGCGCACGUAGGCGGCUUUGUAAGUUAGAGGUGAAAGCCCGGGGCUCAACUCCGGAAUUGCCUUUAAGACUGCAUCGCUAGAAUUGUGGAGAGGUAAGUGGAAUUCCGAGUGUAGAGGUGAAAUUCGUAGAUAUUCGCAAGAACACCAGUGGCGAAGGCGGCUUACUGGUCCGGUUCUGACGCUG